GACGAACGCUGGCGGCGUGCUUAACACAUGCAAGUCGAACGGAAAGGCCCCCUUGUGGGGUACUCGAGUGGCGAACGGGUGAGUAACACGUGAGUAACCUACCCUUGACUUUGGGAUAACUUCAGGAAACUGGGGCUAAUACCGGAUAGGAGCUCCUGCUGCAUGGUGGGGGUUGGAAAGUUUCGGCGGUUGGGGAUGGACUCGCGGCUUAUCAGCUUGUUGGUGGGGUAGUGGCUCACCAAGGCUUUGACGGGUAGCCGGCCUGAGAGGGCGACCGGCCACAUUGGGACUGAGAUACGGCCCAGACUCCUACGGGAGGCAGCAGUGGGGAAUAUUGCACAAUGGGCGGAAGCCUGAUGCAGCAACGCCGCGUGCGGGAUGACGGCCUUCGGGUUGUAAACCGCUUUCGCCUGUGACGAAGCGUGAGUGACGGUAAUGGGUAAAGAAGCACCGGCUAACUACGUG
rnacentral:rRNA from 1 species